GACGAACGCUGGCGGCGUGCCUAAUACAUGCAAGUCGAACGCUUCUUUCCUCCCGAGUGCUUGCACUCAAUUGGAAAGAGGAGUGGCGGACGGGUGAGUAACACGUGGGUAACCUACCCAUCAGAGGGGGAUAACACUUGGAAACAGGUGCUAAUACCGCAUAACAGUUUAUGCCGCAUGGCAUAAGAGUGAAAGGCGCUUUCGGGUGUCGCUGAUGGAUGGACCCGCGGUGCAUUAGCUAGUUGGUGAGGUAACGGCUCACCAAGGCCACGAUGCAUAGCCGACCUGAGAGGGUGAUCGGCCACACUGGGACUGAGACACGGCCCAGACUCCUACGGGAGGCAGCAGUAGGGAAUCUUCGGCAAUGGACGAAAGUCUGACCGAGCAACGCCGCGUGAGUGAAGAAGGGUUUCGGAUCGUAAAACUCUGUUGUUAGAGAAGAACAAGGACGUUAGUAACUGAACGUCCCCUGACGGUAUCUAACCAGAAAGCCACGGCUAACUACGUG
rnacentral:rRNA from 1 species